rnacentral:rRNA from 1 species
UGGGGAAUUUUGGACAAUGGGCGCAAGCCUGAUCCAGCCAUGCCGCGUGCGGGAAGAAGGCCUUCGGUUGUAAACCGCUUUUGUCAGGGAAGAAAUCUUCUGAGUUAAUACCUCGGGAGGAUGACGGUACCUGAAGAAUAAGCACCGGCUAACUACGUGCCAGCAGCCGCGGUAAUACGUAGGGUGCAAGCGUUAAUCGGAAUUACUGGGCGUAAAGCGUGCGCAGGCGGUUUUGUAAGACAGAGGUGAAAUCCCCGGGCUCAACCUGGGAACUGCCUUUGUGACUGCAAGGCUUGAUGCGGCAGAGGGGGAUGGAAUUCCGCGUGUAGCAGUGAAAUGCGUAGAUAUGCGGAGGAGCACCGAUGGCGAAGGCAAUCCCCCUGGGCCUGCACUGACGCUCAUGCACG